GCUUCGAUCGAACAGAGGCUGGACUUUAUUGCUCUUUUGGAAAUCAGAAGAGGCAAUUUUGCGCCCCAAUUCCUUAAUACGCUGUCGCGAGGGGCCGAUUUUGAUUGGCAUUGUCUACCUCCGAGAGGAAGAUCAGGUGGCAUCUUACUUGGGGUUAGAUGUGAGACGCUGGAAGUUCGGAGUGUGGUCAUGGGAGACUUCGCUGUCAAAUUUCGGGUUAGGUCCAAGAUCGAUGGAUUUAAUUGGGCCUUGGUGGCGGUAUAUGGUGCCGCACAGCCAGAAUUAAAACCGGACUUUUUGGCGGAUCUGGUCUGUAUUUGCGGAUCAGAGCAGCUUCCAAUCUUAGUAGGGGGCGACUUCAAUAUCAUUAGAAGGAGGGACGAAAAGAACAAUGACAAUUUCGAUGGCAGGUGGUCGUUCUUGUUUAACACCAUUAUUGAAAGCUUGGAUUUGAGAGAGAUAGAGCUUUUCGGCCGAAAAUUCACAUGGGCUAAUUCUUUGCCUACUCCUACUUUUGAGAAACUUGACCGUGUCCUCGCGAGCGUUGACUGGGAACAGAAGUUUCCUCUAGUCACCGUACAGGCAUUAUCGCGUGGAAUUUCAGACCACACCCCGUUGCUGGUUGACUCUGGGGAGGCAACGCGCGUGGGAAACAAGAAUAUCUUCUCAUUUGAACUAGCGUGGUUUGAGAUAGAAGGUUUUUUGGAUCUGAUAGCCAGAGAAUGGGCUAAAGAUUCAGGAGGUAGAACUCCAAUAGAGAGAUGGCAGAAUAAGAUUCGUCACCUGCGAAGUUUCUUACGAGGGUGGGCUAAGCAUCUUAGUGGGUGUAUAAGGUCGAAAUGGAAAGGCUCCUUUCCCUUAUCCAGGCCUUAG
rnacentral:rRNA from 1 species